GACUUUGGGGCCUAGCUGUGUAUCCCCUUUGUUCAGUCCCAGGUGAACUGGAACCAUGUGAUCAAAUGUAAAAACUUGUUAAAAUGAAUAGCUGAAGGGACAGAGUCACAGAACGACAACAUGUUUUCAGUCUGGUUGCUGUCCGUCUCCUUUUGAAGAUGGUGAACAUUCCAGAAACCACCAAACUUACCUCACAUUGUAGUUGGAUUUUUGGGCCUACACAGCAGCGCUGCCUGUCAACUGGAAUUCACGGCCGGUGUGGUUUUUUUGGGAGAGAAAUAAUGCCCUGGUUUUGGAAUCCACAAAGAUGAUCCCAGAGUAUUGAACUGCGAAAGAGCUGCAAAUGUAACCAAUGAAGCAUCAGCGACCACCAACACCAAGAAAACUAUCACCAACAUCACUGAGUCCAGGAGACUGCAUACUGACACACACUGAACAGUACCUACGGACAUUCAGUGUCUGACAUUAAGGGAGUCCACGCCCACACCCCGUGUCACAGCUGCUGCUGAGGUGGUUAUAGCCCAGGAUUUCGAUUGCCCAGAAUUCCUUGAACUGGUUUCUACAUCAUCUUCUGGCCCAGGAUUUGGUGGUUUCUGUGUCAGCUUUCUGUCACAACAGAGACAGUGGUUCCUGUGUUUCCCUCGAUCUCGGGAACCCAUAAACCAUGAAUCAAUGGAUUUGGUCUUUUUUAUCGAUAUGAUUUCUGUUAUUAAUAUCGGCACCGGAGUACGGGGACUUAAACACUUUUCACAGCAUUGUUUUUGUACAAAUGUAAGUGACAAUAAAAUAUGACUUGAUUCCACACCCUGUUCAGGGAUGGUAUUACACACCUCUGGAGCAGGUGGGACUUGAACAUGGGCCUCGUGACCCCGAGGUAUGGACACUCUGACUGCAUCACAUGAACCUGAUCUCCUGUUAGCUUGCAUGUCCAGACAAAGGUUGAGUUGCCAUUGCGUUACCAGACCACAGAGUUGUCCUCCCACUCAAGGGAGAUGACUGGGGGACAGUCUAACCUGAGGAUCGCUGUACCUCAGGUGAAGGGUAGAGGUUGAGAAUGGGAAUCUUUCGUAGUUAGAGGGA